GACGAACGCUGGCGGCGUGCUUAACACAUGCAAGUCGAACGGAAAGGCCCUGCUUUUGUGGGGUGCUCGAGUGGCGAACGGGUGAGUAACACGUGAGUAACCUGCCCUUGACUUUGGGAUAACUUCAGGAAACUGGGGCUAAUACCGGAUAUGAGCUCCUGCUGCAUGGUGUGGGUUGGAAAGUUUCGGCGGUUGGGGCUGGACUCGCGGCUUAUCAGCUUGUUGGUGGGGUAGUGGCUUACCAAGGCUUUGACGGGUAGCCGGCCUGAGAGGGUGACCGGCGACAUGGGGACUGAGAUACGGCCCAGACUCCUACGGGAGGCAGCAGUGGGGAAUAUUGCACAAUGGGCGGAAGCCUGAUGCAGCAACGCCGCGUGCGGGAUGACGGCCUUCGGGUUGUAAACCGCUUUCGCCUGUGACGAAGCGUGAGUGACGGUAAUGGGUAAAGAAGCACCGGCUAACUACGUG
rnacentral:rRNA from 1 species